rnacentral:rRNA from 1 species
AUACGGAGGAUCCGAGCGUUAUCCGGAUUUAUUGGGUUUAAAGGGUGCGCAGGCGGCCAUUUAAGUCAGCGGUUAAAUCGUGGGGCUCAACCCCAUUCUGCCGUUGAUACUGGGUGGCUUGAUUGCGGUCGAGGUUGGCGGAAUUCGUUGAGUAGCGGUGAAAUGCAUAGAUAUGACGAAGAACACCGAUUGCGUAGGCAGCUGACCAGACCGCAAAUGACGCUCAUGCACGAAAGUGCGGGGAUCGAACAGGAUUAGAUACCCUGGUAGUCCGCACAGUAAACGAUGAAUACUUGUUUUCGGCGAUAUAAUGUCGGAGGCAAAGCGAAAGCGAUAAGUAUUCCACCUGGGGAGUACGCCGGCAACGGUGAAACUCAAAGGAAUUGACGGGG